UGUGCUGCCUUCCAGUUGCAGGAGAAGAUGGCUCACAGCAGCAACUCAAGAAAAGCUUUGUGGUUGAAGCUCAAAACAGAGUAUCAGAAAAUGGAACAUUCAGAACUUUGGAAGCAGUUUUCUGGCCAGUGAAAGGAGAAACAGUACGUAAAUGGCUUAGGCAUGUUCCUUGUGUUAAUCCUUGAGUCAAUCACUGUAGCCAGUAGGUGGGCUCAGUCCAAUCAGGGUACAUGUCAAUAGCCAAUCAGAAAAGGGCAAGCUGCUACUGGGGUAAGGGGGAGAUAAAAUGACAGUUGUUGGAAAUAGUAAAAAAUGAACCUGCCAACUCUCCAGGCUCCUGCUUCUCUCAACCUGCCAACUCUCUGGCUCCACCGUGCCACAGGGCUCCCACCAGGUGGUGGUCUCUCUGCCUGCCAACUCUCCUAUGGGGCCCCCUGAAUUCCUCUCACUACCAUGCAAUGCCCCACACACCCCAUGGUCAGCCAUCUCAACACCUAAUUACUGGGUAGAAUCAAAACUCUUAAAGCUUAUGAUUAUGGUUAACCAAUCAGAUUUGUGCAACAAUAAAAUCACAGUUUACAAGAUGCCAAUACAAUAAUUUCAGAGCCAAUUGAUAAUGAUAAAAGCUUUAUCCCAAUUAUUCUAACCUUGUAAUAUCAUCAGGUCAGCCUCCAUUCUUCUCCUCUCUCUAUCUAUCUCUGUUUCUCUCUGUCUGUCUCUCUCUCUCUGUCUCUUUCUCUCUCUGUGUCUCUCCCCCCCCACCACCUCCCUUUUCUCUGUCAAAUCACAGGCCUCCCGCUGCCCUAAUGUAAUUGGACAGGGAAAAUCCUGUGAUAGACAGUUUCUAUAUGCAUGUUAGUAACAUAAGCAGGAAGUUUUAAACACAACAUGGGAAGGCUAGAGAGUUAUAAUUAGCUCACAUCUUCCAUCUUAUAAAUGAUGAAACUGGGGGUCCAUGGGACACUUGGCCAGGUUUGGUAUCUCCU
rnacentral:lncRNA from 1 species